rnacentral:tRNA from 1 species
GAGCUUAUAGUUCAAUGGUAGAACACAUUGCUCAUAACAAUGUAGUUGUGGGUUCGAAUCCUACUAAGCUCA